rnacentral:rRNA from 1 species
AACGAACGCUGGCGGCAGGCCUAACACAUGCAAGUCGAACGCUCUAGCAAUAGAGAGUGGCAGACGGGUGAGUAACGCGUGGGAAACUUCCUAGGGGUACGGAAUAGCUCAGGGAAACUUGGGGUAAUACCGUAUGAUGCCGUAAGGCCAAAGAUUUAUCGCCCUUAGAUGUGCCCGCGUCGGAUUAGCUAGUUGGUGAGGUAAUGGCUCACCAAGGCGACGAUCCGUAGCUGGUUUGAGAGAAUGACCAGCUACACUGGGACUGAGACACGGCCCAGACUCCUACGGGAGGCAGCAGUGGGGAAUCUUGGACAAUGGGCGCAAGCCUGAUCCAGCCAUGCCGCGUGAGUGACGAAGGCCUUAGGGUUGUAAAGCUCUUUUGCCGGGGACGAUAAUGACGGUACCCGGAGAAUAAGUCCCGGCUAACUUCGUGCCAGCAGCCGCCGUAACAC